UUUUGUAUUAUUUGAUUAACGUGGUUAAGUUUUACUUGUUUGACACAAAUGAACCAAAAUAAACAUUGCCAGAAUUGUCCACACUGAGUAUGGCUAAAAUUAGCUAAUAGGCUAAAAGGUACUUUGAACUUACACAUGUUAUACCAUAGUAUAAAGUAUAUUUAAUGAUAGAGUCAAAGUUAUUACUUUAGCUUAUAUAUGUAGCCUUUGAGAAUUUCUUUCAGAAAUUAAAACAUCUGAAAGAGAAAAGUUAUUUGGCAUGAUGGAAUGAUUUGAUUGCCUACACAUUGCACAUGUAAAAUGUUAAAUACUGUUCUGUAUUAAAAGCUCAGCAUAAGUGUUUGAUUAACUUCCUUUGCUUUUGUUUUGUACAAAGGAAGAGCAGAACCUAAUCCAAAUAAAAAUAAACAAGCUGUUAAAAGCCAGUUGAAGGUGGUCAACACAAACCAAAUGAAGAUGUUGCACAUUCCACAAACAAUAAAAAAAGAAGAUCAAGUUUUGUGUCCAACACACUUGGAUGAGACGUGCCCGACCCCUGACUUUGUCUACCCUACAUUAAGUUGUGAUGGCACACUUCAUGACAGUAAACAUCGGUAUCAAGAUGAUGUGAUUGAUCUAUACCCUAGAAUAAGCUGUGACACUAUGAGACGGUGACAUAAUGAACAGCCAUCUUCCAGACAACCGAAACAGUAUUGUCUACAAUACCAAAUUCUGGAUUGACGCCCCAGUACCAGAAGGCACUCCAAUCCCAGAGAGCAUCCCAUUGUGAGGUAACACAGCGAAAAAAUAACAGGAUGGAGACUACCUGAUUCUUCACCUAUGGCCUUAGCUUCAAAUGCAAGAAGUCCAGCAACUGUCUGAGCUGGUGGAUAUUCUAUCAGAGACUGCAUGAACAACGUUAUGAACAGAUGCUGUGAGGAGGUGGAGCCCAAAAGCCACGGACUCGGAAAUCGAUGCAGCUAUGGCAGACCACCUCAAGCACGCUCCAGGAAGAGAGCUAGGGGUUGUGAAUACAAAAAAUAAGCCAAACAGAUGUAAUGUGUUAGAAAAAAGUUCACACAAAAAUGAAAAUUGUUAUAAUUUUCUUACCCACGUGUUUCAAACCUGUAUACAUUUCUAUUUUUUGCUGAACACAAAGAUUGAAUAAUGUUUGUAACCAAGCAUUUCU